GAGUUUGAUCUUGGCUCAGAUUGAACGCUGGCGGCAGGCCUAACACAUGCAAGUCGAGCGGUAGAGAGAAGCUUGCUUCUCUUGAGAGCGGCGGACGGGUGAGUAAUGCCUAGGAAUCUGCCUGGUAGUGGGGGAUAACGCUCGGAAACGGACGCUAAUACCGCAUACGUCCUACGGGAGAAAGCAGGGGACCUUCGGGCCUUGCGCUAUCAGAUGAGCCUAGGUCGGAUUAGCUAGUUGGUGAGGUAAUGGCUCACCAAGGCGACGAUCCGUAACUGGUCUGAGAGGAUGAUCAGUCACACUGGAACUGAGACACGGUCCAGACUCCUACGGAGGCAGCAGUGGGGAAUAUUGGACAAUGGGCGAAAGACCUGAUCCAGCCAUGCCGCGUGUGUGAAGAAGGUCUUCGGAUUGUAAAGC
rnacentral:rRNA from 1 species